AACGAACGCUGGCGGCAUGCCUAACACAUGCAAGUCGAACGAGACCUUCGGGUCUAGUGGCGCACGGGUGCGUAACGCGUGGGAAUCUUCCCUUGGGUUCGGAAUAACAGUUAGAAAUGACUGCUAAUACCGGAUGAUGACGUAAGUCCAAAGAUUUAUCGCCCAAGGAUGAGCCCGCGUAAGAUUAGCUUGUUGGUGGGGUAAUGGCCUACCAAGGCGACGAUCUUUAGCUGGUCUGAGAGGAUGAUCAGCCACACUGGGACUGGGACACGGCCCAGACUCCUACGUGAGGCAGCAGUGGGGAAGAUUGGACAAUGGGCGAAAGCCUGAUCCAGCAAUGCCGCGUGAGUGAUGAAGGCCUUAGGGUUGUAAAGCUCUUUUACCAGGGAUGAUAAUGACAGCACCUGGAGAAUAAGCUCCGGCUAACUCCGUGCCAGCAGCCGCGGUAA
rnacentral:rRNA from 1 species